rnacentral:misc_RNA from 1 species
UCUCCGUAGGUGAGUAGCAUCCGAACCCCCUCCGCCUUUGCGGGCCGUACUAACGUAGUCACAGGUGAACCUGCGGAGGGAUCAUUACCGAGCGCCGCGGCUCCGGCCGCGCCUCUCCACCCUUGCUUACCCCCCGCUGCUGCCUCGGCGGCGCCCCAGGGCCCGCCGGAAGAGGCUUCAAAACCUGUCGAACCCGCCGUCAGAGGGCAAAGCCAACAAGCA